rnacentral:RNase_P_RNA from 1 species
AUAUCAGGACAAAUGCUGCAUUAAGUUAAUAUGUAGAGGAAAGUCCAUGCUCGCACAGUCUGUAAUGAUUGUAGUGUUCGUGCAUAGGGAAAAAAUAACCUAUGGCAGUUUAACUGACGGCUCUGAAAUAACCUUAACUGGUUAAAGUAAGUGUAAAAGUGCAACAGAGACGAGUCUGGUUGGAAACGAUCAGAGUGGAACGAUGUAAACCCCAUGAGCGAGAAACCCAAAUUUGGUAGGGGCACUCUUAUGAAGGAAUCAAAACUAAGUAAGGGACUCAGUAAUGAGUAGAUAAAUAUUUGUCACCUAGAAAUAGGUACAGAACAUGGCUUAUAUGA